UUAAGUUCAGCGGGUAUCCCUACCUGAUCCGAGGUCAACCAUAGAAAAUUGGGGGUUGAUGGCAAGCAUCCACCAGGACUCUAUAGCGAGAAGAAUUACUACGCUUAGAGCCAGAUGGCACCGCCACUGACUUUAAGGGCUGCUAGAGGGCAGGCCCCAACACCAAGCUGAGCUUGAGGGUUAUAAUGACGCUCGAACAG
rnacentral:misc_RNA from 1 species